GCUGCGGCAAAAUCCGCAGCCGGAAGGUAUCCCGCAGGUCAGCGCCUAUCUGAAGGCGACCGCACAUUUAUU
rnacentral:sRNA from 1 species